rnacentral:rRNA from 1 species
UGGGGGAUAUUGCACAAUGGGGGAAACCCUGAUGCAGCAACGCCGCGUGAAGGAAGAAGGUCUUCGGAUUGUAAACUUUUGUCUUGCGGGACGAAUAAUGACGGUACCGCAGGAGGAAGCCACGGCUAACUACGUGCCAGCAGCCGCGGUACUACGUAGGUGGCGAGUGUUGUCCGGAAUUACUGGGUGUAAAGGGUGCGUAGGCGGAUUUGCAAGUCAGGUGUGAAAACUAUCGGCUUAACCGGUAGCCUGCACUUGAAACUGUGAGUCUGGAGUGGGGAAGAGGUAAGCGGAAUUCCUAGUGUAGCGGUGAAAUGCGUAGAUAUUAGGAGGAACACCAGUGGCGAAGGCGGCUUACUGGGCAGUAACUGACGCUGAGGCACGAAAGCAUGGGGAGCAAACA